UGUCCGCAGUAGAGCACGGACCGUGACGUAUGCCGCGUUGUAGCGUGUGCUGGUGUGCAUUUACCGCAAUGCACCUGCGUGAUACAGUACUCGGCAAGGAUUGUGACGUAUGCGACGUUCUAGCGGGCGACAGUUUCGUACUGCAUCAUAUUCUCGUAGUAUUGUUGGACUAACUGGGCCAAAUUGGACAAGUGACCAAGGAUCGGGAUAUGUAGGAGGAGGGCUUUGGAGGAGUCCUUCACCUGUGAACAGAGGGCUCUUGAAUAAUUUAGAAAAUAAUGAAAUAGGAAAAAACAAUUAAGAUUCAAGUAAUAAAAGGCUUCCUCGUUGCUCGCCUCAGCACAAGUUUUUAUCGACAAAGGAAAUCUUACACAAACGAAGAAAUUAAGGAAAUUUGUCUUUUCAGUUCCUGUGAGUUAUUUAUCAAAAGGAAUAUCUCUUCCUGAAAUUGGUUUUCUUUGGAUUCAUUACUUUACUGGGAUUGAGUUUACGAGUCUUCAAAUAUUAUUUCUUUUUAAGAGGUCUGGUGCAAUGCGGUAGCUGCGUUUGAAAGAGUUUUCAACUAACAGUAAAAUAGUUUUUAAAUAAAAGAAACUGCUACGUUAACUAUACCGAAGUCCAAUAGGAAAAGCAAAUAAUGUUAACAAAUAGACAGCUUUUGUUGGCAUUUGACAUUUAAUCUAAAAAAAAUAUGGAGGUUGUUUACACUGGAAUAUUAUUAACUAACAUAAAUUUUAACAAAAAGUUGAUACAAAUAAAAUCUUUAAGUAUAUGUAUUUUUGAUAAGAUCAUGAUUGUCAUCAAACAGUGCGUGAUACGAAGUAUUGAAGGUAAAUUGGUUUGUUUACAUUAUUUGCAAUUUCUAUUGGACUCCACUUCAGGUAUGUGUUUGUUAGCGAAGGUUCUUGAGUAGGUACUUAGAUAAAGUAAUAUAUCUUGUUUGCAAUGUAUUGAAAAAAAAUAUUAUUAUUGCGCUUUAUUAUUUUAUUCCUUAUAUUAUAACUUAUAAUAAGAACAUAUUAUGCUAAUUUUGAGUUACAUAUGCUGUGCUUACCUUACAAGUGUCUAAUUUGACUUUAAGUAAAGAACAAACAAACCUCAAACGCACACGCGGAACCAUUGUCGUUUUAUCAUCCCUCAAUUUCCUUCCGAUCUGUUAUCUCGUAUUUACACACAUUGUCUGCUAUAACAGCCGCUAAUCACUUAGAAAAUAUUCCUUUUAUAAAACGAACAACAUAACAAGUCACUAAACACUUCAACUUGAUAUGUUACGUUGUUCUUUCCAGUGUGGAAGUAUCAGCGGGUAGCGCCGCGCGGCGCCCCAAGUUUCAACUACGAUUAAAAAUCACUAAGUCAAGCAGAAGUAAACCUUGUACAAAUGAUAUAAGUACUAUGUCAGAGGUACAUAUUUCGUGGCCGGGAGGUUUUAAGGGCUCGAGGGCGGCAGGUGCGCGAACGCACGUGCGGUGCAGCUUUCCGCACCUAAAUACAUGAGCGCGCACAAAAAAUAAUUAAUAGUCGAUCCAAUUUAAUUAAGACUGAAUCAGCAGGAAUUUUCUGGUAGACGGUAAAAGACUGUUCUCUUUUUACUCAUUAUUAAAAUAUUUUACCGUUAACAUAAAUACACAUGUGAGUUUAAUCAACUAUAUUUAAUUAUAUAAUUUAUUUGAAUUUUAGAAGUUUUUUUUUCUUUGAAUACCACGUUGGUGGCAAACAAGCAUACGGCCCGCCUGAUGGUAAGCAGUCACCGUAGCCUAUGGACGCCUGCAACUCCGGAGGUGUUACAUGCGCGUUGCCGACCCUUUAAAAACCUGUACACUCCUUUUUUGAAGAACCCCAUACUGUAUACCCUCGGGAAAACCUCGGCUGGGAGCUCAUACUACAGCCGGAACGCCCGCCGGAGGAAAU